CAUUCUUACAUGAAAAGCCCUGGCUGAUGAAAUGACCACAGGAAGACAACAUGGAACCCUCCCAGCACAAUCAGAAGAAGCUUAAUUAAGCUCUGUGGUUAAUUUUAAAGACUUUUUGUCAGAAGCGUGGCAAGGAACUUCAGUCUGGCUUUCAAAAGUGCUGAACACCCAGAACUCCUACCAAGGCCUCCUGAAAUUACAGCUUUGACCCCACAUUUCGGAGGCACAGUGGGAGCUCAAGUGGAACACAAGCUGUGAGACCCUGAGUGGGCUUUGCCCAGGGAAAGAGAGACACAGGUACCUCGGCAUAAGCUGCAUCCUUACAAGGGGAGUAACUGUGCCGGGAGAAUAUGUUCCAGUGCCUUUUAUUAAGGGGAUGGUAAACAGAA